GGCAAGAUGGCCGAGUGGUUAAGGCGCUGUGUUUAGGUUACACGUAACCGUGAACAAUCGAAAGAUAUUACCGCAGUGGGAAACCUCGUGGGUUCGAAUCCCACUCUUGUCA